AUGGGGAGAUCUGGUUUUCUCUUUAAGACGAGCUCUCUCUGGCUGCCAGGUGGAGAGUGUCCUACAGGGGACAGGAGCAGCGAGAGCAACAGGGGAGGCCGGUGCUUACUCCAGAUGGGACAAGCGUGGCCAGUGAAGAGAAGUGUAGAGAUUCCAGAGAUUUUGGAGGCAAAGUCAACAGCCUUGCUGGGCCAUCCUGCACCACGAGAGCCACCUUUGCCGCCAACCCCAGCAAACCUCUGUGGAAGCUCCUGCGCUUUUGUGUUAUGGGAUCAGGCCUCUUUGAUCCUCUGGAGGAAGAGAGAAGAGACAGGCAGAAAACAAAACUAACACCCAUGGAAUCCCUAGGAUGUGCUGGCUCCGGGCUGCUUGCUUUCCUAAAGAAUCAGAACAGAUACUCUCAUAGAGAGUUCUGAUAGUUGAAAAGUUUCCCCUUUUCUCUGCCCUUAAGACAUAAAAGUUUCAUUCAUAUCCUUCUAGACUUUCUCCUAUGGACAUAUGGGUUAAUUCUACAAAAAGGAGAAGAUGCUAAGUGCUCUACGUGGAUUAUCUCAUUUAAUCCCUAGGUGCUGCUACAUUACCCACACUUUGCCUUUCAGGAAACAACCUCAGAGGGGUCAGUGCUUUUCCUGAGGCCACACAGCUGGUAGCCCUGCCUGGCCCCACACCCACGGCCCCACUCUGCAUCCUGAGCGUCGGUGGCUGAGGAAGGGCUGACCUUGGCCCUGUUUGGGGGCAUUUGGGGCUGCAGACCAGAUGGGGUGAAUCUGCAGAAGGCCUGAUCAGGCCCUUCCUUCCGUUGUGCCUGGUGACCCAAGCCUGGGGGCAGAUUACAGCCCCAGGAGUCCUUGUUAAGGUUUUUGAAAACGGGGGUUCUACUGCCAUGGAAUUGCAGCUCUGUCCUUGAAGCAGGCUCCCAGCUCCCAAGAUUCCCAGCUGUCUGUAACAGACAGCCUUGCCUUGGAUUUCUCCUGCCCAAGACCCAGCGGGUAGAGGCUACUCUAGGAGGCGGGAGGCCUGGGCCCAUCACCGCUUGUAAUCUUGGCAGCUGCUGUCUCUCUGCCUUGGUCAUUUCUUCUUAAGUUCCUUUCACCUCCAUGUAAGUGCCUGAGUCUUCCCCUAAUUAGGGAAGGGUGGGGUCUGCUGGUUGGGUGAGGCUGGGGAAGGUGGAGGAAGAAGAGAAAGAACCAGGGCGGUGAAGUCUGAGGCAGGCCUGUGGGUUUGGAAGGAGCGCGAUGGAGAAUAACUAGGUCUGGAAUCCCUGGUCCUGGGUCCAAAUCCCCGUGUGGGACGUAUGCGGCUGUGCAGGGUCUGUACCCACAAGAGUCCACAUUCAGCUUUAUCUUCUGCUAUUGCAUCUUAAAAUUCUUAAUAACUUUUGUACAACGAGCCCAGCAUUUUCAUUUUGUACUGAGCCCCACAAACUAUGUAGCCAGCCCUGUUACCUUGUAUUAACCGUGUACUUGACUUCGUCCCUUAGACUCAGUUUUCUUUCUCGUCUGAAAAAAUGAGCCAUGCUACCACCACCUCAGAGGACUGUUCUGAAAAUGAGACAAGAUAUUCCUGGUAAAGAGCCAGGCAGUGGCAAGUCUGUGAUAGGACUCUGUCCCUGGCACUUGUGACAGUCACUCUUUAGGGGCCUCGGUGGGAGAUGCCUCCCUAGGAGCUGCAGCCUCUUCCAGCCUUGUCUGUGAGCUCUCUUGGCACCUAGGGGACACUUCAGGCCAAAAAUGAAAAUUGUCACUGGAAAGCAAAUAGUGCCACCAUCCCCACUCCAAACCUACCUUCCCUCCCUUACCUGUGGCUAUAUGGAGUCAAGCUGUUUAGAGCCUUGAACUUCCAGGAAGUAAAGUCCUGGAAUUUUUGAGCAUGGGAAGGGAUGAGAAGCAUCUGCUUCUGGCCAGGAGAGGGCCAGUGGUCUGCCUGUCCCAGAUGAAGGUCCCAUACCCAGAGGUGCUAGCAAACUCUUCCCCAAGAACAGCCUCCCGUUGCAUAUCACAGCCUGUGGGACCCCCUAUCAAUCAGUUUCAAGGUCCUAACAACUCAGCCUCCCAGAUGGUUCUGGAUCUUGGCUUCUUUGAUUAAUAUCUAAAGUAUCUUCUAACAAUGAGACUUUGGGCAAGUUACUUAACCUCUCUGGGCCUCAGUUUUGCCCUCCAUGAAAUAACAGCUUUGACGUCGUGGGUGUGUCAUGAAGAUGAAAUGACCCCCUGCAUAGACUCACAAACAUGGGUCCCUCCCGCUGCCAGGCCACCCGCCUCACCCCCACUCUGAGCCAGAGAGCAUGCCCAGAAAUGCUCUGACCAUGUCUGAGUGGGCAGAGAUGAUGAUGAAGCUGUCUCCUCCCUAAGCAGGCUGCUUUCUGAACCAGCUCCAGCUCUGACCCUGUGACUCCCUCCAGAAUUUCUUGGAAGCCAGCACUUGUUGAAAGUUCCCAGGCAUCUUGGUGGCUGGAAACUGAAGACUUGGGGUGAUGGGGUUGUACCAGUUAUGGGGCUGCGAGGAAAACAAGGCCCCUAGAGAAUGGCACCCUCAACCUCUCCAGAGCUGGGGGUGCAGCCCAGUUGUCCCUGAGUCUCCUCAGCCAGUUGUCCCUGAGCCUCUGCGGAGGAGCACCUGUGGGUUCUGUUGCUCAGCUAUCCUGAUUCCCCGGAAACAGCCCCAGGAAACUUCCCCUGAUUCCCCGGAAACUUCCGGGCCCCACUGCAGGCUCUUAGCACACGACUGUCAGUCAAGCCAAGGGGUGGGCACAUGGCCCAGGCUCAGCCAAUUGGGCGCCCACUCUGAUUCUUGAGAAUGGAGAGGACAAUGAAAACGGGUUGGGGGGGAUUCGUUCUGGGGGCGCCUCCCUGAUUCCUGCCCGUGAAUCUCCAGGGCUGCCCUGGGCCCCUGUCCUCUCUGAGCCUGGAUUUUCAGCUUUUCUUGUUUCCAUGCCUCCCUCCAGCCUCCCAUGCAUCCCCCCCUGCCCAGACUAGCCCGGGCAGCCUCUGCUGCUGACUGAUACCCUUUGGCUCCCGCCAGCAGCUUCACCAGCCAUGGUCCAAACCACUCUGAUUGCCCCCUUCUGCUUUGAAGGCUUCACACAGGCUGUGCAAGCUAUUCGGCACCUCCGAACCUUUACCCCUUCUGCUCCUUCUGUUCCUUCUGCCAGAAUGCCCUUCCCACCUUCUCCUCUCACUCUUACCCUCAUGAAACACUUCCGACACUGCCAACUCUGGGGGACUCCCCCACCUCUCUUCAGACCAGGCUGACCCCUUCUCUGGGCAACCCUAGCCCCUGAGCUCCUCUCCCUCUGUGUCCACACCCCCCACACCCCCCAUACCUGCAUCCACCUCCCUCCUGUGUCUGAGGCCCAAGGCAGGACCCUGCAUCUUCAUUCUCAGUCGGUGCUCAGCACACAAGCCAGGGCUCUAGGACCAUGGAGAGGCAGCCCUGGGCAUCAGUCAGGGACUCCUGGGCUGCCAGAGGCUGAUCCCACUGCCUUCUGGUGAGGGGUCAAGAGUGGGGUGAGCUCAAACCCCUGCUCCUUCUCCUAGCCCAGACCCAAGCCCCAGCCCAGCCCUGACCCUGCCCCAGCCCAACCCCGGCCCGGACCCUGCCCCAGCCCAGCCCGGACCCUGCCCCAGCCCAGCCCCGCCCCAACCCUGCCCCACCCCAAGCCCCAGCCCAGCCCCGACCCUGCCCCCAGCCCAAGCCCCAGACCAGCCCCGACCCUGCCCCCAGCCCAGCCCCGACCCUGCCCCAGCCCAGCCCCGACCCAAGCCCCAGCCCAGCCCCGACCCUGCCCCCCAGCCCAGCCCCGACCCUGCCCCAGCCCAGCCUUGCCCCAACCCUGCCCCACCCCAAGCCCCAGCCCAGCGCCGACCCUGCCCCCAGCCCAGCCCCGCCCCAACCAUGCCCCACCCCAAGCCCCAGCCCAGCCCCGACCCUGCCCCCAGCCCAGCCCCGACCCUGCCCCAGCCCAGCCCCGCCCCAACCU
rnacentral:lncRNA from 1 species